AACGCACCUUGCGCCCUUUGGUAUUCCGAUGGGCAUGCCUGUUCGAGUGUCUUGAAUUCAUCGCCACCUCGGGUUUUUCGGAACUCUGGGGCGGGCGGAGCUGGGGGCCUGCCGCGGCGACGCGGCUCCCCUCAAAGCCAUCGGUGGGGUUGCCGGUCAUCCCGGGCGUUGUAAUCACCUCGUCCGACACGGAUCGACCGUGCUCCCUUCCACGACCUGCCGGCAAGCGCGGCGGUCAAGCUUAAACUUUGAAAUCUGACCUCGAAUCAGGUAGGACUACCCGCUGAACUUAA
rnacentral:misc_RNA from 1 species